UACGUAGGGUGCGAGCGUUAAUCGGAAUUACUGGGCGUAAAGCGUGCGCAGGCGGUUUUGUAAGCCAGAUGGAAAAUCCCCGGGCUCAACCUGGGAAUGGCAUUUGGGACUGCAAGGCUGGAGUACGGCAGAGGAGACUGGAAUUCCUGGUGUAGCAGUGAAAUGCGUAGAGAUCAGGAGGAAUACCGAUGGCGAAGGCAGGUCUCUGGGCUGAUACUGACGCUCAUGCACGAAAGCGUGGGGAGCAAACAGG
rnacentral:rRNA from 1 species